rnacentral:rRNA from 1 species
CCUACGGGAGGCUGCAGUCGAGAAUCAUUCACAAUGGGGGAAACCCUGAUGGUGCGACGCCGCGUGGGGGAAUGAAGGUCUUCGGAUUGUAAACCCCUGUCAUGUGGGAGCAAAUUAAAAAGAUAGUACCACAAGAGGAAGAGACGGCUAACUCUGUGCCAGCAGCCGCGGUAAUACAGAGGUCUCAAGCGUUGUUCGGAAUCACUGGGCGUAAAGCGUGCGGAGGCUGUUUCGUAAGUCGUGUGUGAAAGGCGCGGACUCAACCCGCGGACGGCACAUGAUACUGCGAGACUAGAGUAAUGGAGGGGGAACCGGAAUUCUCGGUGUAGCAGUGAAAUGCGUAGAUAUCGAGAGGAACACUCGUGGCGAAGGCGGGUUCCUGGACAUUAACUGACGCUGAGGCACGAAGGCCAGGGGAGCGAAAGGGAUUAGAUACCCGUGUAGUC